GCCCAAAUGUUUACAAGUACUUGAGAGUCUUUUGGAACUGAAUAGUUCAUCACUUGACACGAUUCGUGUGCGCGGUGAGGAAGGAGAAGUGGCGCUGGAGGAUGCAGCCUUAAUGUUUCUUUUACACAUGCUUGUAGAAGCAAGAAAUUCGAAGUCAGCACCAAUUCUGAUUCAGAGUAAGAGCAGAGUGAAACAGUGUAUUUAACGAGAAAUAUUUUGACUGAAGUUGCAAGCUUCAGUAAAUGUUCUUAGUUUCAGUUUGAGCAAGAAAGCAAAUAAUUUCACGUUACAGUUUACACACCAACCAAACAACAAUGUAUCUUUACUUUGUUACAGGACAAUUGUUUAUUUAGCAUAGUUUGUGAGAAACAAUUUCACAUGCACAUUACAGCCACCAAAUGACAAAUUAUGUUUUCAUGUGCAAAGAUUUUGGAUAUGAAAUGAGUUGAGAGUUGUAGUUUGUCUAUUUUACGACUCUGGAAGUAGGAAUGAGAAGCAGAGGUUGUUCCUUCUGCAGUGUCACACCAAACUUGUCGCUCAUAUCUAGUUCCUUGGGUUUGGCUCCAUUUGACAUGUCAAAGAAAUGGAGCAUUGAAGCAAGAACCAAGGGUACUUGCUUCGCAGCCAUCGAAAGUCCAGGGAAAAUUCCUCUUCCACCCCCAAAAGGUAUUGAGUACCUCAUCACUUCACAAGUUUGAGACGCUCGGUGAUGAAGGAGAAGUGGUGCUGGAGGAUGCAGCCUCAAGGUUUCUUUGACACAGGCUUGUAGGUAAAUUAGUUGAGAGUCACACCAAACUUCUCGCUCAUAUCUAAUUCAUUGGGAUUGGCUCCAUUUGGAAGUGACCAGUCAAAGAAAUGGAGCGGUGAAGCAAGAACCAAGGGUACUUGCUUCGCAGCCAUUGGAAGUCCAGGGCAGAUUCUUCUUCCACCGCCAAAAGGUAUUGAGUACCUCAUCACUUCACAAGUUUCAGAUGCUCGGUGAGGAAGGAGAAGUGGUGCUGGAGGAUGUAGCCUCAAGGUUUCUUUGACACAGGCUUGCAGGUAAGUUAAUUGAGGUAACUAAGCAGAAGAAGCUGUCGGAAUGAGAUGCGGUCUUCAACAAACUUUUCGAGACCAUUUCAAGCUUUUCGGAAAGUGCUGAUUCACACAAAUCCGAGUCCGCUUGGGCCUCUGAAUGCUACUCCGAAGUCAGGUCUGGAAAUCCUAUGAAAGCACGAUUCCUGUCUGUGGAUUAAGCCCAUAACUUGAGCAUAUGAUGUCCAAAUCGAGUAAUUCAAAAGCUCAGAGUUAUCUACACAUACGGAGCUACAACUUUGAUGAGGAGUUUCAGUUCAGAAUAUGCUUCGUUUGGCUCAGAAUUCGGUUGCGAGUUUGUGGAAAGACUUUGUUUUCUAAACAGUUAAGGAAGCUGAGUUGUUUUGGAGGUCUCGAGUUAGGGACUCCUAAGGGAUAUGGGAUGUAACUAAUUCUAUAUAAGGGGACGGCAAGGAUUAAGGAUGGACACACAAAGGUCCCACGUAUUCACAUAGAACGUAGGUUUACUUCACACUAUGAGCGGCUAAUUUAUUUCUUUGGGUAAAGGGAUUGGACUCCAGUUCAUGUAAUUUUGAGACUCGUCGGUUCAUCGUAAUUUAUCAUCAUUCUUAACUCGAAUAUCUGUAGUUCUCUAUUAUUCUUGUCAAUGAUUGCAUGGAAUGAUCGAUUGAGAUGCAUGUUGAUUGAUAGUUCGUGCGAUUAAAUGCUA